rnacentral:ncRNA from 1 species
AAUGACUCAGGAGAGACCGCCUUUGCGCGGCACCGAAGGAGCAAUGCCACACUCUCUCAGGUAAACGGACUGGGUCA